GGCGCUUUGGCGGAGUGGUUAUCGCGUUAGCCUCGAACCGUCCAAUAGGACUCACUAGAUAGCUAAUUCCUUCGGGAGCGUGUGUUCGAAUCACACAGGCGUCG
rfam:Stagonospora sp. SRC1lsM3a unplaced genomic scaffold IQ06scaffold_19, whole genome shotgun sequence.